UACAGAGGUCUCAAGCGUUGUUCGGAUUCAUUGGGCGUAAAGGGUGCGUAGGCGGCGCGGUAAGUCGGGUGUGAAAUCUCGGAGCUUAACUCCGAAACUGCAUUCGAUACUGCCGUGCUUGAGGACUGGAGAGGAGACUGGAAUUUACGGUGUAGCGGUGAAAUGCGUAGAUAUCGUAAGGAAGACCAGUGGCGAAGGCGGGUCUCUGGACAGUUCCUGACGCUGAGACACGAAAGCCAGGGGAGCGAACGGG
rnacentral:rRNA from 1 species